UUGUUGAAGUUUUGAAGUUGUUUUCUACUAAAAGAAAUCUUGUGUUGACUGAAUUAGUUUAAAAAAAUAUUUGUUUGUGUUUGCAUCCACUGGGAGAACUCCCUCCCGAAAGAGAGCGUUCCCCCAACGAACAAAAGAAUAGUAGUAAAGUAAACUCCACUGUGUGUAGUAAUUAGAAAGUGUCGAGUCGUGUGAUAAAACACCUCCUUUGGAAUAGAGAGAUCCACGCACACUCCCAGGUCUUUGUCGGCUCCCUCCCCCCACUGCAGAACACCCACCAACCGCGCACUUAAGCGCAGGCAGGAGAAAUAGCAUUCACAGCAGAGAAAAUAUUUUAGGAGCCUCCUGAGUGUCUACACUGGUCCUCCCCAGAGAUGUCUCUCUCCGAGCUCAGACAAAUCAAUUAAAUUUCUUUAAUGAUCCUUCCGCAGGUUCACCUACGGAAAUCGAAUUCC
rnacentral:rRNA from 1 species